rnacentral:rRNA from 1 species
CACCUCGGGCCUGCAGUGGGUACGGGCAGACUAGAGUGCGGUAGGGGAGAAUGGAAUUCCUGGUGUAGCGGUGGAAUGCGCAGAUAUCAGGAGGAACACCGAUGGCGAAGGCAGUUCUCUGGGCCGUUACUGACGCUGAGGAGCGAAAGCGUGGGGAGCGAACAGGAUUAGAUACCCUGGUAGUCCACGCCGUAAACGUUGGGAACUAGAUGUGGGGGCCUUUCCACGGUCUCCGUGUCGCAGCUAACGCAUUAAGUUCCCCGCCUGGGGAGUACGGCCGCAAGGCUAAAACUCAAAGGAAUUGACGGGGGCCCGCACAAGCGGCGGAGCAUGCGGAUUAAUUCGAUGCAACGCGAAGAACCUUACCAAGGCUUGACAUAUACCGGAAACUUCCAGAGAUGGUUGCCCCGCAAGGUCGGUAUACAGGUGGUGCAUGGUUGUCGUCAGCUCGUGUCGUGAGAUGUUGGGUUAAGUCCCGCAACGAGCGCAACCCUCGUUCUAUGUUGCCAGCACGUGAUGGUGGGAACUCAUAGGAGACUGCCGGGGUCAACUCGGAGGAAGGUGGGGAUGACGUCAAAUCAUCAUGCCCCUUAUGUCUUGGGCUUCACGCAUGC